GGGAGGGAUCUCGUGGUUGUAUGG
rnacentral:siRNA from 1 species